GCUUCAGUGUGCGCUCAUUCUCCAAACAGAGCACCCUCCUCUGCAGAGACGCUGCCAGACCCUGCGCUGCCUGGAGCUGAGAUGGGGCAAAAGAGCAUUUUGUAUGCACACUUAACUGCUUACGACCUGAAAUAUAAUAAGAGCUCGGCAGGGACCCGGUACCAGCUACCUGCUCUCUGACCUUCACCGCCCCGUCCCCCGGGCUCCUGUGUAGGUCGGAGCCCUGUUCGUCCACCUCGUCUAGCUCUCUGAUGGACUCCAGGGGGGAAACACGGUGGCCCGCGUUACUCAGACUGUCCUCGGUGUGAGGGGACACCAGCGGGCUCUGCAAAACCAACUCCUCCUCAGGCUGGUCUCCUGAUUUCGGCUGCUGCAUGUUUUCGGCUGGAGAAGGGAUCACUGAGGUGAUGCUGUAGCAGUCCCCCGUCUCAUCCUCUCCAUUCUUUGCCCUGCCCCCUUCUUCCUUGUUCCUUGGCUGCCACUCAACAGUUUCACACAGCAGUUCGCUGGGCAUUGCCAUGGACUUCAUAGGUACCAUCUUGAUACAGUCUGAGUAAUAAUAUAAAUACUACUGAAUAAAUGAUGGUAUUAUAAUGGUA